GCACCUCCAGCAGUGGUCGGUGGCACCCGCAUAUAUUCUGUCAAGUCUGGCUGGUACCAUAUACCAGUGGUAUUGUAGUUUCUGCAUAAGCUCUAGGUGCAAUGUGCACCUAGAUCUGCAUCUGUGUGCUAGGAACACCCUUUUCCAGUCGUUUGUGUCAGAUUUUUGGCCCAAGUCUGUCUGCCAUGUCUGAAUAUGCGUGUCCACUGUGCCUCCUCCCUGGCCGUUAAGUAGAUUAUAGGUCAUGGAGAGUAUUUUUUAGGGUGUGCGGGAAGCCAAGCAAGCCCGUUCGAAUUGUCGGCUGUUUUGGCGUCGUGUCUGUACCGGCUUCGGUCAACAUGGAGUUCGCCUGUAGAUAGGAAAACAAUAGUCUAGAGGGUAAGUUAAAUCUUGUUUGUAGAUCUGGAAAUUGCAGCAGUUGGUCGUUUUCAUAUAGGUGUCUAAUGUGUGUACAUAGUCAUACAGAUACCCAUUGCCUGUGGUCAUAUGAGGGAUUCGCCAAGUGUAUGCUAUGGAGUGGGGUAGCCAAG